GUGGGGAAUCUUGCGCAAUGGGCGAAAGCCUGACGCAGCAACGCCGCGUGGGGGAUGAAGGCUCUCGGGUCGUAAACCCCUUUCAGCAGGGACGAAUCAAGACGGUACCUGCAGAAGAAGCCCCGGCUAACUACGUGCCAGCAGCCGCGGUAACACGUAGGGGGCAAGCGUUGUCCGGAUUUAUUGGGCGUAAAGAGCUCGUAGGCGGCUCUGUAAGUCGGGUGUCAAAUCCUCAGGCUCAACCUGGGGCUCCACCCGAUACUGCAGUGGCUAGAGUCCGGUAGGGGAGCGUGGAAUUCCUGGUGUAGCGGUGAAAUGCGCAGAUAUCAGGAGGAACACCAGCGGCGAAGGCGGCGCUCUGGGCCGGAACUGACGCUGAGGAGCGAAAGCGUGGGUAGCAAACAGGAUUAGAAACCCUAGUAGUCC
rnacentral:rRNA from 1 species